UGGGGAAUAUUGCACAAUGGGCGCAAGCCUGAUGCAGCCAUGCCGCGUGUGUGAAGAAGGCCGUCGGGUUGUAAAGCACUUUCAGCGGGGAGGAAGGCGAUAAGGUUAAUAACCUUGUCGAUUGACGUUACCCGCAGAAGAAGCACCGGCUAACUCCGUGCCAGCAGCCGCGGUAAUACGGAGGGUGCAAGCGUUAAUCGGAAUUACUGGGCGUAAAGCGCACGCAGGCGGUCUGUCAAGUCGGAUGUGAAAUCCCCGGGCUCAACCUGGGAACUGCAUUCGAAACUGGCAGGCUAGAGUCUUGUAGAGGGGGGUAGAAUUCCAGGUGUAGCGGUGAAAUGCGUAGAGAUCUGGAGGAAUACCGGUGGCGAAGGCGGCCCCCUGGACAAAGACUGACGCUCAGGUGCGAAAGCGUGGGGAGCAAACAGG
rnacentral:rRNA from 1 species